GACAGAGGGUGCAAACGUCGCUCGGAAUUACUGGGCGUAAAGCGCGUGUAGGCGGGCGAGCAAGUCAGGUGUGAAAUCCCCGAGCUCAACUCGGGAACUGCACUUGAAACUGCUCGUCUCGAGUACCGGAGAGGAUCGUGGAAUUCCUGGUGUAGAGGUGAAAUUCGUAGAUAUCAGGAGGAACACCGGUGGCGAAGGCGGCGAUCUGGACGGUCACUGACGCUGAGACGCGAAAGCGUGGGGAGCAAACAGG
rnacentral:rRNA from 1 species